rnacentral:lncRNA from 1 species
CUAAAAUAGCUCCUAGUCUGCAGAGGUGAAAUGAAAUAUUAGGUGAUCGGUAAAACAUGUAAAUUAUUAAUUUUGGAUCUAAUUGACAUUCACACUGUACAGUAGAUGGAUAGAUAUUCCCCUUCUAUAAACACUACUCUGAGACUCCACCUGCAAACCAGCUCAUGAUCUGUAAGAGAUCAGAAGAGACCUUCUUGGGCUGUACGGACUCAAGAAACAAACAUUUAAAACUUUCAGAAACUUAUUCUGAGUCUCCAUGCCUGCAAUCUGUUUUUAUUGUCAUGGAAGCCAAAGUUGCAUUAAUGCAACCACCCCAUGAUCAUUCCACCCCUCAGCAAACAUUUACAGAUUUCUGA